rnacentral:rRNA from 1 species
UACAGAGGUCUCAAGCGUUGUUCGGAUUUAUUGGGCGUAAAGGGCGCGUAGGCGGCGGGGUAAGUCGGGUGUGAAAUCUCAGAGCUCAACUCUGAAACUGCACUCGAUACUGCUCUGCUUGAGGACUGGAGAGGAGACUGGAAUUCACGGUGUAGCAGUGAAAUGCGUAGAUAUCGUGAGGAAGACCAGUGGCGAAGGCGGGUCUCUGGACAGUUCCUGACACUGAGACACGAAAGCGUGGGUAGCAAACAGG